UACGGAGGGUGCAAGCGUUGUUCGGAAUUACUGGGCGUAAAGCGCGCGUAGGCGGCUAUGUAAGUCAGAUGUGAAAGUCCACGGCUCAACCGUGGAAGUGCAUUUGAAACUGGAUGGCUUGAGUACUGGAGGGGGUGGUGGAAUUCCCGGUGUAGAGGUGAAAUUCGUAGAUAUCGGGAGGAAUACCGGUGGCGAAGGCGACCACCUGGCCAGAUACUGACGCUGAGGUGCGAAAGCGUGGGGAGCAAACAGG
rnacentral:rRNA from 1 species